UGACUUACCUGGCAGGGGAGACACCACGAUCACGAAGACGGUUUUCCCAGGGCAAGUCUUAUCCAUUGCACUCCGGAUGUGCUGACCCUACGAUUUCCCCAAAUGUGGGAAACUCGGCUGCAUAAUUUGUAGGACUGCAUUUGUGAUCUCCCUGA
rnacentral:snRNA from 1 species